AAUAGGAGGAGAACAAGUUAAAGUUAAAAAAAGAAAAGCAGAUAAAUAGCAGAGCAAGAGGCAGGAUGCAUCAUGCCUCGGUCACUACAUGUUUGCAGGGUUUUGUUAAAGACAAUGGUAUGACGUUGAAACUUGGAUUGCCUUGAGUACACCCUCACAGCGCUGCUCGUGGGGCAAGCAUGCCUGGGAGAUGACCUGGGGCACCACGCCCUGCCUAUCUCAGACAAGGAACUCCAGGCAGCAGUGGCGAAGCUAAGCAGCUCCAUCCUUAAGGGGCGGAGGCCGGCUCAUAUUUGCCUAUUAGGGCCGUGGGACGCCGAGGUUCUGCUGGGUCCCUCCUGGAAAUAGAUCCUUCCCAGCCAGCACCCGAAGUCAGCAGCAGAGGGCAAAGCACCUGGGCUUUAUUUAGCUCCAAGCUCCACGAUCCUCCUGGUUGGCCUCUGAAAGAGCUGAAAUACUAUAAACUACCAUUUGGGACAGUUGGAGAAAAACAGCAAAUAUUAGAAAACCUGUGCCAAAGCACUUGCACCCAGUGGGUAUACACAAGAAUGUAACCUCCUCCAAACUUUCAAAAACAAAGCCAAACCUUGGCUGCAAAUAAGCCUCAAAUGAGAAAGAAACACUCAUUUGCUUCUGAAAAAUGGGAAAGGCUGUACUUUAUCUACAAGGUGUUCUUUUCCUUAUAAACCAUGAGAAACAGACCUCUUUUUUGUUCUCUUUGUCUGCUGGAACUUCAUUUUGAAGGAAGGAAGUUACAAGGAAUGAACCACCUUGUAAGGGCAAGAAAAUCUUUCUCCACAGUGUGGCUGGAUUUGCUCCUGGAAGCAGCCACUUUGGUAGGUCUCUCCAAUGAGGCUUUUUCUCACAGCAGUCCAGGGAAGCAGAUGGAUUAGAUGGCUGGCUCUGGUUACCUAUGGCUGCCUGCCCAGUCCCCUGGGCAUUCCAAGGCCCCACCUUCCACCUGGCCCAUGACCUCUGACCCAGGCCCUGUAGCCAGCAAGGGUGUGGGGAAAGAGCGGGGUGGGUAUAGGUAUCAGGCUGCCUGGGCCCAGGCUACAAAUGAAAGAGUCAGUUGUUUCCAUGCCUCAUGCUCUAUUGUGCCGUCCCGGGAGCUGCAGAACUGGUAUUUCUCCAAAUCCUGGUGGCUCACAUGGCUGUGUAGACAAGCUGUACUUACAGUGGUACACGUGUAUGUGUGUUGCAUGGAAAUCAGCAGUCCUGCUUCCAGUCCCAGCUCUGCCUCUGCCUCAUUCUGGGACUUCAGAGAGCCCCUUUGCCACUUCAAGGAGCCUCAGUUUUCUCAUCUACGAAAUGGCACUGUUGGAUCCUUGUAAGUGCUUGGGAAAGGGUGGGGAGUGGGGUGCAGAGUAGGGGCUGCUGACCAGGCAGUUUCCUGCCAUCCUCUAUAAUCCUGCUCACCACCACCCCGAGGGCAACAAAAACAACUCCACCUUCAUCUGUCUUGUAUUUUGUAUUUUCACAUAAAACCUUCUCAGAAGAAAAACUUUUGUUGGCUUCUAAAAACCACUGGACUAGGCGAUCUGUAAGUGACCUAUGAAAUUGAUUAUUCUGUAAUUCCAUGAUUCCAAAACAAAAACACAGACUUAGACUUUUUAAAGGAUCGUGUGCUGUUUGGGAGGAUGAGAAAAUUAUGACAUAUGUAGUGAUGUGUUUCUGAUACUGAAGAUUCUCUUAUGCGGCACCCCCUGCUUCCACCUGCCACAAAGGGAACAUAUAAAGUUUCCAGAGUCCUAGCCCCCUCCUUUGUUACACCUGAUAAAGGCUCAUGUUAAUUAUUUAGCCAACGGUGCUAACUGGAACAUAGUCAUAUGAUGAAGCUGCCUUGAAAACAUUUCCGCGUGUAACAUAAGGCUUUUGCAACUUAAACGUAUUUUUUUCUUCUUUCAUAUCAGCAGUUAUUUUAUGGAACUGGGCUGAGACAGCUUAGCAACAAAGGGCACUGGGUUGGUGAAUUAUUCAUGUAAUCUACAUUUCCUGGCUGCUGUGGAUAAUUGACAGGUGUCAUGUCACCUUUUACAAACGUCCCACAAUUAUGGACCAUAUAUCAGUGUUGGACUUCGAAGUAAUGCUCCCUUUCUAAGCUAGUUUCAUAUUUUAUUUACAGCUUGGUGGCAUUUUUGACUUGGCUGCCUAUUUCUCUCACUUUUGAUUCCAAGCCUUUUGCUCCACUUAAUAUAACCAGGAACAUUUAAAUAAUGAGACUCCCUCUCAGUUUGCUAAAGGCAGUCAUUCAUUGCUGUGGUGUCUUAUUCAUUCAGCCAUUAUGUUAGUCAAUUUCUUGAUUUAAGAAAUGCAGGAUGAAAUGCAACUGUAAGGAAACCAUGAUAUAAUUUUUUUUAUGACUUGUUUUGUUCACAAGGGAAAAACCAAAAGCAAAUCUUCCGUGUGUCUGACACAAGUUGUAAACUGUAGGGGAAAGUUGGCUAGUUAAAGAAUAUGACUUAGUUAAUAGAAGAUGGCAUAUUUCAAAUCUCCACCAGAGUUGGAAGUUUUCUAGCAUUAGAAACAAAGCCAAGGCAAGUUCUAUUUAGGCCUACUGAGAAAAUCAGGUAAGAAAAUAAACCUGCAGUUGAUAACCCUGAAGACUAAUGACAGAACAUAGCCAUACAUGAAACUGAAACAUUCAGAGCAAACUGGAACCUUCGGAGUCCUCUAGUCUACCUUUCCACUUUAGCCAUCAGGAAACUGAGUCCCAAGACAUGUAAAGGUUUGUCCACCAUCCCAACACCAGUUAGUGGAAAGGCUACAAGCCAGGUCAGCCGGUUCCUCCUCCAGCACUGUCACCGUUCUGCCCUGGCCUGGAGCACUCUCCUUACCUCCCGGGAUUCAUUCACUUCUUCUACUGCCAGUGAUCUCUGACUCUUCCUUGGGGAUAUUCACCCCUUCCUAACACUCAGCUCUGUGAUUUGUGUAGAAUGAUCUCAAACUCACUCUCGACAUGAGCAUGAUUGAUUAAGUCCAUCAAUUUUCCUGAAUGGAAUGGCCACAUGACCUAAACUGGACCAGUAAGAUACAGUGAACCCCAGCACUUGGAUGGGAGCUGUUGGAAGAGAUUUUCAGUCCUACUAGAUUGGCUGUUGUAAGGGUGUGAGGUCUGGAGCUGCUACAUAUUAUUUUGCUACCAAUAUGGAAAGAGGCUGGAGCUACAGGAAGUGGGUGGGGAAAAUGUAUCAUGUGAUGCCUGCGGGUGAAGCUUGCCAACACAAAACUACUGGGCAGAGAAAGCAAACCUGGGUUAAGUAAACAUAUCAUUUAUCUUCUAAACCAGGACAAUUCUGAGAAUGAAAAAGGGCAGGACAAAUGCUAAACCAGACAGGAUGCCGGAACAGUAGGCAUAAACAGAACUGUUCUGGGCAAACAGGGACACACAGUCAUCCACUCUACGAUGACACUGUCUGAGCUGCUAGAUUAAGCCUUGACUCUCAAUUCAGCUGGCUGGAUUCAGCUAGCACUCUAUUUGGCCUUUUUAAUCUCGGUAACAAUGAACUCACUUCAUUGUUGAAACCAGUUUGAGUUAAGAGUAUUGUAACUUGUAUGUAAAGCUUUAACUUACACAAAUAUGCUGCUUCCUAAGUGUUGCACUUUCUAAAAUCUUGUCCUACAUCAUAUCGGA
rnacentral:lncRNA from 1 species